CAUGCAAGUCGAACGAGGAUAUACCUUUCGGGGUAUAAACCGAGUGGCGCAAGGGUGAGUAAUGCAUAGAUUACCUGCCUCUAGGAUAAGGACAACUUUGUGAAAACGAAGCUAAUACUUAAUAAUACAAGAGAGAAUAAUUCUUUUUUGUCAAUGGGAGGGUAGCAAUACCUUUUGCCUAGAGAGGGGUUUAUGUCCUAUCAGCUUGUUGGUGGGGUAAUGGCCUACCAAGGCGAAGACGGGUAGCCGGUCUUAGAGGAUGGUCGGCCACACUGGGACUGAGACACUGCCCAGACUUCUACGGAAGGCUGCAGUCGAGAAUCUUUCGCAAUGCCCGAAAGGGUGACGAAGCGACGCCGCGUGAGUGAGGAAGGCCUUCGGGUUGUAAAGCUCUGUCAGGUGUUAAGAAAUAUAAGUGUGCUAAUACCACAUUUAUUUGACAAAGGCGCCAAAGGAAGCCACGGCUAACUCUGUGCCAGCAGCCGCGGUAAUACAGAGGUGGCAAGCGUUGUUCGGAAUUAUUGGGCGUAAAGAGCACGUAGGUGGGUUCGUAAGUCAGAUGUGAAAGCCUUCUGUUCAACGGAAGAAUUGCAUCUGAAACUGCGAGUCUUGAGUGUAGGAGGGGAGAAUGGAACUUCUGGUGGAGCGGUGAAAUGCGUAGAUAUCAGAAGGAACGCCGGCGGCGAAAGCGAUUCUCUGGCCUAUUACUGACACUCAGUGUGCGAAAGCUAGGGGAGCAAACGGGAUUAGAUACCCCGGUAGUCCUAGCUGUAAACGAUGGGCACUAAGUAGAGGGAAUUACCGAUGUUCUCUCUGCCGUAGCUAACGCAUUAAGUGCCCCGCCUGGGGAGUACGGCCGCAAGGCUAAAACUCAAAAGAAUUGACGGGGGCUCGCACAAGCGGUGGAGCAUGUGGCUUAAUUCGAUGCAACGCGAAAAACCUUACCGGGGCUUGACAUGGUAGAAGUAGGAACCCGAAAGGGUAACGAACGGUAUCCAGUCCGUAGCUAUCACAGGUGUUGCAUGGCUGUCGUCAGCUCGUGUCGUGAGACGUUGGGUUAAGUCCCCUAACGAGCGAAACCCUUGUUUUUAGUUACCAGCGGGUUAUGCCGGGUACUCUAGAAAGACUGCCGUCGUCAAGACGGAGGAAGGUGGGGAUGACGUCAAGUCAUCAUGGCCCUUAUGCCCCGGGCUGCACACGUGCUACAAUGGUCGGUACAAACGGAAGCGAAGCCGAGAGGUGGAGCGAAUCCUAAAAAGCCGAUCUCAGUUCGGAUUGGAGGCUGAAAUUCGCCUCCAUGAAGUUGGAAUCGCUAGUAAUCGCGGAUCAGCAUUGCCGCGGUGAAUAUGUUCCCGAGCCUUGUACACACCGCCCGUCAAGCCACCCAAGCAGGAUGCACCCGAAAACAUUAUAUCUAACCAGGUUUACCUGGAGGAAAGUGUUGAAGGAGUGUUUUGUGAGGAGGACUAAGUCGUAACAAGGUAGUCGUAGGAGAACCUGCGGCUGGAUCACCUCCUUUCU
rnacentral:rRNA from 1 species